rnacentral:rRNA from 1 species
UACGUAGGGGGCUAGCGUUGUCCGGAUUUAUUGGGCGUAAAGAGCGUGUAGGCGGCCAGAUAGGUCUGCUGUGAAAACUCGAGGCUCAACCUCGAGAUGUCGGCGGAAACCAUUUGGCUAGAGUCCGGAAGAGGAAAGUGGAAUUCCCGGUGUAGCGGUGAAAUGCGCAGAUAUCGGGAGGAACACCAAUGGCGAAGGCAGCUCGCUGGGACGUUACUGACGCUGAGACGCGAAAGCGUGGGGAGCAAACAGG